rnacentral:lncRNA from 1 species
GGACGCAUGCCACUCAAUAUUUCUUUUUCUUCACCAGGCAGGGUGGGAGCACGAUCUAGCUUGUGACGGAUGGCAAGGCUCCCUUUCACGUUCAUUCUUUCCUUCAUUCAUUCCAAACAACCUCAAGAGGUCGGCUGGCCCAGCUUCCUGCCUGAGGUAGGUCAACACCGAAACCACCAGGUGUGAACACGUUGCUGGUCUUUGUUUUGGUGGGAACAGUUGAGUCCUCUCUCUCUGCCAUCCUGGAAGAAGGAUCAGUCAGAGUUCUUUCUGUACCCAUUUUAUGUGAGUUUCCACUUGAAUCCUCAUGCCUUUGCCCUCUCAUCCGGAUUUCAAAUAACACCUACUGGAGGCCUGCUUUUUCCUGUCCUUUUUCAUCUUGAGCCUCAGCAUCUUCUGCUCUCUUUGCUGACCCACCAAACCUCCCCCUGUAGCACCAAUCUGCUGUCACUCACAUUGUCAGAGAUGGCAUCAGCAGAUGUAGCUGCAGAGUCCCUUGUCCUGCCUAUCUCUGAGAGGUCCAUUGGGCAAGCUCGCCAGGACCCUGGAGACGCACCUUGGAAAGGGAGAAAUGCCGCCUGCCGUGUUCUACUCCCAGAGUUCCACGGUACCCAUCAGUCCACAUUAAAGGGCCUGAGACUUCGCACCAUAAAGGGGCCUCUUAAUGUCUGUGAAUUGGUGCCGUACAAACUUAUUUUAGAAUCCCAACUUCUGAGUCAUACCUUCUACCUUUUUUCAG